AUGAAUUUGUCUUCGGACAUUCUCUCAUACACUUGUGAACUUACACUGUUGCUUGGUGGAGAUGCGGUCUAGAAAUGGAUGCGCGCCACCGAGAUUUUUUCACCCAUUUUUAUGUCUGAACAAAACAAAAAAUAAAACAAAACUUUCAACAAUGGAUCUCUUGGCUCUGGCAUCGAUGAAGAACGCAGCGAAAUGCGAAAAGUAAUGUGAAUUGCAGAAUUCAGUGAAUCAUCGAAUCUUUGAACGCACAUUGCGCCCUCUGGUAUUCCGGAGGGCAUGCCUGUUUGAGUGUCAUUAACUUCUCCAUUUAUGGACGUUGAGGUCUGCAUUGCGAUGCUUCCUCGAAUUACAAGGGUGCAGCCUUUGGCUGUCGACAAUGUAUUAGGUUUCACCACUCGUUGUUUGACUGUCAUUUUGUGCGGCACCGAAAGCCGUCUUGCAUUUCAUGCUUGACAUUUCAAC
rnacentral:misc_RNA from 1 species